rnacentral:rRNA from 1 species
ACUCCUACGGGAGGCAGCAGUGAGGAAUCUUGCGCAAUGGGGCAGCCAUCGACGCAGCCACGCCGCGUGCUGGAAGACGGCCCUAUGGGUUGUAAACAGCUUUUACUAGGGAAGAACCUGGACCUUUCGAGGACCACUGACGGUACCUAGUGAAUAAGCACCGGCUAACUCCGUGCCAGCAGCCGCGGUAAUACGGAGGGUGCAAGCGUUGUCCGGAAUCAUUGGGUGUAAAGGGUGUGCAGGCGGAAGUCUAAGUCGGAGGUGAAAUCUUGCCGCUUAACGGUAAAAGGGCCUUCGAUACUGGAUUUCUUGAGUUCGGAAGAGGUUGGUGGAAUUCGUGGUGUAGCGGUGAAAUGCAUAGAUAUCACGAAGAACACCAGUGGCGAAGGCGGCCAACUGGUCCGAUACUGACGCUGAUACACGAGAGCGUGGGAGCG